AGAGUUUGAUCCUGGCUCAGAUUGAACGCUGGCGGCAGGCCUAACACAUGCAAGUCGAGCGGUAGCACAAGGAGCUUGCUCCUGGGUGACGAGCGGCGGACGGGUGAGUAAUGUCUGGGAAACUGCCCGAUGGAGGGGGAUAACUACUGGAAACGGUAGCUAAUACCGCAUAACGUCUUCGGACCAAAGUGGGGGACCUUCGGGCCUCACACCAUCGGAUGUGCCCAGAUGGGAUUAGCUAGUAGGUGAGGUAAUGGCUCACCUAGGCGACGAUCCCUAGCUGGUCUGAGAGGAUGACCAGCCACACUGGAACUGAGACACGGUCCAGACUCCUACGGGAGGCAGCAGUGGGGAAUAUUGCACAAUGGGCGCAAGCCUGAUGCAGCCAUGCCGCGUGUGUGAAGAAGGCCUUCGGGUUGUAAAGCACUUUCAGCGAGGAGGAAGGGUUCAGUGUUAAUAGCGCUGUUCAUUGACGUUA
rnacentral:rRNA from 1 species